CACCGCCUGGCAGACCGCGGAGGAGUCCGCGCCGCCGAGAGAUGAGGGCCGCGCGCGGCGCUGAGAAAACAGCCUCCUGUCGCCUCCGGCUGCGGGACCUCCGGCCCGGGCACUCGCGCUCGUCCCGGUGCCCGAAGCCCGGCCACGGCGGCCAGGAGGACGGGAAGGGACGCCCCCGCCCCAGGCCAUGGAGCCGCGCGCGCUUGGCGCGAGGCCGUGGAGACUCGGCCGAAGCUGCGGCGACGAGAGGCCGGCAGCGCUAGAUGGAGAGCGGGGCCCAGCGGGCCGGGUCUGGCGGCGGGGACCUGCAGACCCCUGAGACCCCGGAGGAGGAGGUGGCACACCGCCUCCAGCCGACGCCCCGGUCCCGGAGGGACUCGCCGGCGCCCUUUCCCGCGGCUCGCGGACUUCGCUCCGUGAUGAAGUUUUCUCUUGUGUUUUCCCGAGGACUGUUCUCCACGUCUAGGACGCGCAUUCUGGCGGACACACGCAGUUUGCUUUGGGAGAUAACUUGCUUCGCUCCCACCCACAUCUCCUUUCCUUGACUCCUUCCAGUCGGACGUUCCAGAUCACUGAAUGGAGUUUUGAGUUGGACUCUUGUGUCCCUUACGGAAUCGAGCCUAAUCCUGGAGCACUGGGGCUGGAAGGGUUUCUGUAAAUGCAAGUUAGAUAAAAGGAAGACCUCUCGCUGGGGGAUCUAGUGAAUGGCACACAGUCUACCAUCACCGACAGGUUGGGGCGAAGCUGACUCUGCGCUUAGCCUGCCUGGAUGGGGCCCCCGACCUCUCAGGAGAGUCGGGGAUUGCCUAUUGCCUUUGCCCCGUGAAGUUGACAGGCAAGUGACAGGGGGUUGUUUCCAAGCUCUGCAAUUAACCUGGGCUUGUUGCAAGUUAGCCGGUUGAUUGAAUUUGGAAAUUCAAAAAACUGAAUUUUUUUGGUUUAUUAUUGCUUUUGAAGAGAAACUUUUCUCCAGAUUCUCAGAAGAAGGGUAGAUAAAGCCACGGUUGUGUUUUUUUGUCUACAGUGUGAGUUAAGAUACUGUACUGAUCUUAGAACCGUUUGUUGUUCAGUCGCUCAGACGUGUCUGACUCCUUGCGACCCCAUGGACUGCAGCUCGCCAGGCUUCCCUGUCCUUCAGUUCUCCCCGAGUUUGCUCAAACUCAGUCGGGGAUGCCAUCCAGCCAGAGGAAGGUCGUUUUGGGGGAAGGUGGGUUUCUGUCUUUUGUGGAGGAAGUUCUCCGCCUCCGGAUACUGAGAUGCUGUCUCGGAGCCUUGGAAGACCAGACAAGUGGUGGAGAAAGACAGGUUUUCCUUGGAGGAAAUCCCUCCAUUUCCCCUGUGGGAGACACCUUGUUUCUGCUGGCCAGGCCUUCUGCCACUUGCAGCCCCUUCCACUGUGGCCAUGUCUGCAUCUGCAGCACACGUCUGGAUGCCUCAGAAGUGGACCAGGGAAUGAUCAGAAGGUACAAAAAGACAGAAUAGUUUUAGACCCUGAAGCUGGGAAAGAUUGAAUGCAGGAGGAGAAGGGGUCGACAGAGGAUGAGAUGGCUGGAUGGCCUCACCGACUCAAUGGACAUGAGUCUGAAUAAACUCCAGGAUUUGGUAAUGUACAGGGAGGCCUGGCAUGCUGUAGUCCAUGGGGUUGCAAAGUGUCGGACAUGACUGAGGGACUGAACUAAACUUAUUGAAUAAGGCAUUUGCUGUUUUGUUCCAUUACCUUCUGUCAUUUUCCAGAUAAUUUCAUAAUUUCAUUUUCCAAAACCUUUUUAUCUUUCUGAGCAAAGAACUAUUCCCAGCGCUCUUUACAGUAUUCCAGGGAAUUGAAGUUUUUUCCAAUAAGAGAAUUUUGUAAUGACUGAAAUAAAUGUAAACCCAAAUGUGCAAUGUCUGAUGAUACGGCUGAUGAAUCAGAACUUCCAAGCCAAGCUGUAACAGUUUUUGCCUAGUCAUCAAAGAAACAUGCAGUCUUGAGUUAUCCUGAUGGAAGAUUAUGUGUUUUGUUGACUAAUUCUAGCCGAUUUUCAUUGAGUGAUGUUUUCAGUUCAACUAAUUGGAAGCGGUAGUUGCUGGAAUUAAUGGUUUGGUUUUCUGAAAGAAACUUAGAAUAGAGGAUGUCCUUUGAAUCCCACCACAUACCUAACAUCUCCUUCUCUGGAUGGAGACCGACAUUUUGUGUGGUUGGUGGUGUUUUGUUUUGCUGGCCCCACAAUCUCUUCCGUUCCACAUUAUUGUACAAUAUUGACUUUUCUUUGUCCAACACAAUUUUAUUUAAAAGCAGAGCAUUCUUUUUUACAUCUCAAUAGAGAAUCCCUUGUGGAAAUGGUCAAGAAGACUUUAUCUAACUUAUGUGAAACCCAAACAUCAAAUUGAUUAAAAUAACCAAGGUGACAAAUUAUUUUCAACACUUGAUUUGGACAUUUUGAGUGUGUCUGCUGUUCCUGAAGACAUAAGUUGAUUGUCUUCAAUUAAUGUCUCCAUCUGAUUGCUGUCAACUUCAACAGGUCUACCAGACCAUGGAUCAUUGUCAGUGAGAAAUCCCAGCACAAAAUUUGAAAACUACUUUUGAUACAUGUGAUCAGUCACUGCACCUUCUCCAUAUACUGCACAAAUC
ensembl:lncRNA